UACGUAGGGUGCGAGCGUUGUCCGGAUUUAUUGGGCGUAAAGAGCUCGUUAGGCGGUUUGUUGCGUCGGCUGUGAAAUCCCGAGGCUCAACCUCGGGUCUGCCAGUCGAUACGAGCAAACUAGAGUGUUGCAGGGGGAGACUGGGAAUUCCUGGUGUAGCGGUGAAAUGCGCAGAUAUCAGGAGGAACACCGGUGGCGAAGGCGGCACGCUGGACACCUGCUGACGCUGGAGGCGCGAAAGCCAGGGGAGCAAACGGG
rnacentral:rRNA from 1 species